rnacentral:tRNA from 1 species
GGGCCCGUAGCUCAGCACGGAUAGAGCGCCGGCCUCCGGAGCCGGAGGUCGGGGGUUCGAGUCCCCCCGGGCCCG